AAACGGGAGAGCAAGCCAUCUCUUCUCCUUUGGGACGCCCGAACCUCGCGCACAUCCAGAACAUUAUUUGAUUCCUCUCCUUUUCCUCCUGUCUUUCUCCCCACGAGAUGAGAGACUGAUUCGGCGAGGGUUCCACGCGCUGUUACGAAUAAGUUUUGGGUAGGAAGAGAGGAUGAUGAUGAUGAGGUCAGAGUUCAUCGUGCUGUGUUUACUGUUUGGAGCUGCAGCACACAUCCAGGCCUUCCCAGAAUGCAACAAGAAACAUGAGUGUCCUAUAGACGUGUACUUUACGAUCGACACGUCUGAGACCAUCGCCCUGCAAGAACCUCCCCCUGGAUCACUGGUGGAGAGCAUUAAGAUGUUUACGGAGCGUUUUGCAGAGCGUCUGGAGGAUGCUGACUAUAAAGGUCUGGUCCAGAUCAGAUGGCAGUUAGGAGGACUACACUUCUCCCAGAGACAACAGGUCUUCAGCCGCAUACAGGCCAAGGACGCCUUCAUCCAGGGGGUGAGGGGUAUACGGUAUCUAGGUAAGGGAACCUACAUCGACUGCGCCCUCGCCAACAUGACACAGGAAUUGACACGCUCGCCUUCGGACCCCAGGGCACUGCGAUUCGCUGUCAUCAUCACCGACGGUCACGUGACAGGAAACCCGUGCGGCGGGGUGAAGGUGACGGCGGAAAGAGCGCGCGACGAGGGCAUCAGGAUGUUUGUGGUCGCGGCCACGAAGAACGUGGACGAGACGGGUCUGAGGGAGAUCGCUAACUCUCCGGCCAACGUCUACAGAAAAGACUUCCUGGCUGUCGACCUCAGUGGCAACAGGCCUGUUAUACAGCUGGACACUAUAGACCGCAUCAUCAAGACCAUGACCCAUCUGGCCUAUCAGGAGUGCUACAAGGUGAAGUGUCUAGAGACAGAAGGACCUCCUGGUCCCAAAGGACACAGAGGACAGAAGGGAAUCAAAGGAGACAAUGGUAACUCCGGUCUGAAAGGGGAGAGGGGAAGACAGGGCGACCCCGGCAUCGAGGGUCCCAUUGGUCAACCAGGAGUCAAGGGUGAAAUCGGUCUGGAGGGUGAAAAGGGAGAGAUCGGAGCUGAGGGACGAAGGGUGUGGUUCGCUGGGCAACGGGACAGACGGACAGAAGGGGAAGAUCGGAGAAACCGCUCCCGGCUGCAAAGGAGAUCCAGGAGACAGGGGUCCUGAUGGUCACGCAGGAGACGCGGGCAAUGGUGGACUUCCUGGAACAGAAGGAGAGAAGGGAGAUCCCGGUCGACCAGGAAGCGCAGGCCCCCUCGGCCCGGUGGGAGACGCUGGACCUAAGGGGCUGAGAGGACUGCCAGGUGAAGUAGGAAACAAAGGAACCAAGGGGGACAACGGACUCCCGGGGCCACGCGGGCCCCCCGGGGAGAGGGGAAGACAGGGCGACCCCGGCAUCGAGGGUCCCAUUGGUCAACCAGGAGUCAAGGGUGAAAAGGGCGAGGCAGGACCUGAGGGGCUGAGAGGACUGCCAGGUGAAGUAGGAAACAAAGGAACCAAGGGGGACAACGGACUCCCGGGGCCACGCGGGCCCCCCGGUACUUCAGGAGCGGCAGGGAAGAACGGUACCCGUGGCGACCCCGGUGAUGCCGGACCGAGAGGAGACCCCGGCCUGGCAGGACCAAAGGGCGAUGUGGGAAGAGCUGGCUUCAGUUACCCAGGACCAAGAGGACCAACGGGUGAACGUGGGGAGAAGGGCGGUCCAGGGCCCAGAGGAGGCAGAGGAGACUGUGGCCCCAAGGGAGGACCAGGGGGAAAGGGAACCUCUGGAGAGGAGGGAGAACCAGGGCCUCAGGGAGAACCUGGAUUCAGAGGACCAAGAGGAGUGGGUGGACGAGACGGAGAUCCAGGUCCUGAGGGAGAUCCCGGCCUCACAGAAUGUGAUGUUAUGACCUACAUCAGAGAGACCUGUGGCUGCUGUGACUGUGAGAAGCGGUGUGGGGCGCUGGACAUCGUGUUUGUGAUUGACAGCUCAGAGUCUGUUGGUCUCGCCAACUUCACUCUGGAGAAGAACUUUGUGAUCAACACCAUCAACAGACUGGGAUCCAUGGCCAAGGACCCCAACUCAGAGACAGGUACCAGAGUGGGGGUGGUACAGUACAGUCACAGUGGAACCUUCCAGGCCAUCAGGCUCAAUGACUCCAAGAUCGACUCCCUGUCUGCCUUCAAGGAUGCAGUGAAGCGUCUGGAGUGGAUAGCCGGGGGGACGUGGACCCCGUCAGCGCUGAAGUACGCCUACGACCACCUGAUUAAGGACAGCCGCCGAGCUAAAGCCAACGUCACCGUGGUGGUCAUCACAGACGGACGGUUCGACCCCAGGGACGAUGACUCACUGCUCACAUACCUCUGCAGCGACCCCAGUGUGGACGUGAGCGCUAUAGGUAUAGGGGACAUGUUUGACCAGAUAGAGGAGAAUGAGAGCCUGAAGAGUAUAGCCUGUCAGAGAGAAGGUAGGGUGCUGGGGAUGAGGCGCUUCGCUGAUCUGGUGGCAGAGGAGUUCAUCGACAAGAUAGAGACCGUGCUCUGCCCAGACCCUGUGAUCGUGUGUCCUGACCUUCCAUGUAAAACUGAGCCAGCGGUGGCCAGCUGUGUCCAGCGCCCUGUGGACCUUGUGUUCAUGCUGGACGGGUCAGAGAGGAUGGGAGUGGAGAACCACCGCCGAGCCAAGGAGUUCAUUGAGAACGUGGCGCGCCGCCUCACGCUGGCCAACGGCGAAUCAGACAACAGGAACGCCCGCGUGGCCCUGCUGCAGUACGGCGGCCAGUCAGAACAGAGGGUGGAGUUUUCGCUCACGCACAAUCUGACGGUGAUCGCUGAUUCGCUGGCAGGGAUGAGCUACAUGGACUCCGCCUCCUCUCUGGGCAGCGCCAUCAUACACGCUGUCAACAACCUGGCGAUGUCACAGGGAAGCCGCCUGGCACGUCGUAACGCUGAACUGUCCUUCGUCUUUAUCACCGACGGCAUCACCGACGGCGACAGCCUGGAGGAGGGUGUCUCAGCCAUGCGGCGGGCCGAGGGCAUUCCCACGGUGAUCGCCAUGGGGACCGACACGGACCAGGAAGUGCUGAGGAAGGUUGCCCUAGGAGACACGUCAGCCAUCUUUAGAGGAGAGGACUACGCCACGCUGGGGAAACCCACAUUCCUCGAACGCUUCAUCCGCUGGGUCUGCUAAGCAGCUAACCAGCUAAGCAGAUAACCAGCUAAGCAGCUAACCAGCUGUGUUCUAACUAGCUGUUAAAGCUGUAGUCCGUGAAAAAUAAACAAAAGGGUGUUCUCUGAGUUUUGAAUUAAAGUCAUAUGGUGCUCUGUGAUUUUCCAGGUUUUAGCAAAAUGGCAAAACUUGGAAGCUAAACUUCUAGCUCGUCCGAAAGACACAAGAGCCUCCAGAUUGUUGAAUAUUUUUAAUUAGUUAAAUGACAGAUUCCACCAUUAACUAGAUAAGCACAAACAACCAAAGCCUCUCUUAUCAGAGAGUUACUGAUAUUGAAUGUGUACAAUGUUACAGCUGUAGGUCAAUUGUUGUUGUUGUUGUUGAUUUUUGUGUUUUUCUAUAAGAGAUCCCUCUCUGUGAGGCCUAUAUCAGUACGUUUGUAUUUUACACUAAAUGUGAUAUUCUAGUGGAAGGAGUUACACAGUGUCAAUGUCUCGCAAAACAGUCUUAACUUUUCAAACAGUCUUAACUUUUCAAACAGUCUUAAUUUUUCAAACAGUCUUAAGUUUAAAUAGGCUUUGACUUACAAAGUCGUUAUGUUUUCAAACAGUUUUAUAGUUUUUAAUUUCAGUGAAAGUGUUUCUUAUCUGUUAUUAUUCUAGAUCAGACAGUCAUUUAGAUAUCUCUCUCUCACACACACACACACACAGAUCGGUAGUUACAUAUAUCCAACACAUACACACACACACACAGAUCGGUAGUUACAUAUAUCCAACACACACACACACACACACAAACUCAAACACACACACACAAAUCACACUGAAAUGCAUUUGUUGUAAACUGAAAAUGAUGUAAUAAAGCCAGCUGUGGUGUAACCAGA